CAGUCUCUAGGGAAGGCAGACCUGUGUGUAGAAGAUGAGGCUGCUGGGUCUCCUCCUGUGCCUGCUGACAACCCCCCAGGGUGUCUGGUCCCAAGUGCAGCUGAAGGAGUCAGGCCCAGGACUGGUGAAGCCCUCACAGACCCUCUCCCUCACCUGCACAAUCUCUGGAUCCUCCAUCACCAGUUACUACUGGAGCUGGAUCCGCCAGGCCCCAGGGAAGGGACUGGAGCAUAUCGGGUAUAUAACUAGUAGUGGAAGCUCUUACUACAGCCCGUCCUUCAAGAGCCGAGCCUCCAUCUCCAGAGACACCUCCAAGAACCAGAUCUCCCUGCAGCUGAGCUCCAUGAGCACCGAGGACACAGCUGUGUAUUACUGUGCAAGAGACACAAUGAGGGGAAGUCAGCAAGAGCCCAGACACAAACCUCCCUGCAGGAAACCGGGAGGCUGGUCUGCAGGGGUCCCUCAGGACACCAGAGGAUACAGUGGAAACAUACACUGA